AUUGCUUCUCAGCCUUUUGGCUAAGAUCAAGUGUAGUAUAUAAUGUGGAUAUCCAAAGAUUUAUUUAACCAUUU
rnacentral:snRNA from 1 species